rnacentral:rRNA from 1 species
GAUGAACGCUGGCGGCGUGCCUAAUACAUGCAAGUCGAGCGAACAGACGAGGAGCUUGCUCCUCUGACGUUAGCGGCGGACGGGUGAGUAACACGUGGAUAACCUACCUAUAAGACUGGGAUAACUUCGGGAAACCGGAGCUAAUACCGGAUAAUAUAUUGAACCGCAUGGUUCAAUAGUGAAAGACGGUUUUGCUGUCACUUAUAGAUGGAUCCGCGCCGCAUUAGCUAGUUGGUAAGGUAACGGCUUACCAAGGCAACGAUGCGUAGCCGACCUGAGAGGGUGAUCGGCCACACUGGAAGUGAGACACGGUCCAGACUCCUACGGGAGGCAGCAGUAGGGAAGCUUCCGCAAUGGGCGAAAGCUUGACGGAGCAACGCCGCGUGAGUGAUGAAGGUCUUCGGAUCGUAAAACUCUGUUAUUAGGGAAGAACAAAUGUGUAAGUAACUAUGCACGUCGUGACGGUACCUAAUCAGAAAGCCACGGCUAACUACGUG